UUGCAGAGCUGACUCCGCCAAGCUCUGUUUUUCGUGCGACAGGGAAGUUCACUCAGCCAACCAACUUUUCACCAAGCACUCUCGGUCCCUACUCUGCGAUGCCUGUGACAAUUCCCCUGCUUCCAUCUUUUGCGAAACAGAGCAAAGUGUUUUUUGCUCGAAUUGUGAUUGGGAAAACCACAAGUUUUCCUCAUCUUCGUUGCAUAAUAGGAGGCCCAUAGAAGGGUUUACUGGGUGUCCUUCUGCGAGUGAGUUGGUGAGUUUUGUUGGGAUUGAGGAUUUGGGUGAUAAGGCUCCGUUUUUUAGUGAAGAGAAAGUUGGCUGUGGAGAGGAUGGUGAGGAUGAUGGGUUAUUGUAUUUAUUGAGUUGGGAAACUCCUGUGACUUCUGGCUUUGAUGAUUUAAUUGUUUCGAAUGAUUUUGAACAUGGGUUUAAGCCUACGGAUGUUCCUCCUUUGCCUAAGGUAGGUAUCAAAUUGACUCUUUCAACCUUUCGCAUUUCUUGAGGUUCUGUGUUGGUUGGUUAGGGCAUGUAGGAAAAGUUAAAAGGUCGUCUUUUUAUGAAUGCUAUGCUUAUGAAGAGUUCUCGAAUAGUUGUUUGAAGAUUCGGUGAAGUUUGGAAUUUUGGGGUUCUAAUCAUAUUUUAGUUUCUUUCUUUUGUUUAUCCGUUGGGUUGUAGUAUUUUCUGCUAUUUGAACUUGUUUUUGUCUUUUGAGUUAUUAGGGUGAUUAAACUUUUCACGUUCAAGUUCAAUUAGUCAACAUGAUUUUAUUGAGGUUUUGCUGCCAUUAUUUCGGAUAUGGUUGUUUAGAAAUUACAACGAAGAAAUUUUGGAUGAAUUGUUAACCAUUAGCUGCAAAUUUCUUAGCAUUUGCUACAUUUUGUUACGGGGGAAUGAGGCUUCAUGGUGUUAUGUAUUUGAUGAAAUUGGCUAUUUAACUAUUGUGAACAUAUAACAUGGUUCAGUGUACUAUUUCUGUAUCAGAAUCGUAAUGCUUCUUGUGGACAACAUAAGGAGGAGGUACUUCAUCAGCUACGUUACCUUGCAAAGUCAGAACCUAACCACAGCUUUGUAAAGACUGAUGUUGAUGCCAUUACUGGAUUCCAGCCAUGGAUAACUGAUACUGAUAAUUUGCAGCCAGGAAUUGUGCAUACAAGUUGCAAAAAUGAUACAGAUCCAAUUUCAUUUCCGGCUUAUGAGGUAUGCAUUUCCUUUUCUUCUCGUUUUCUCUGAGAUAUUAUGUCCAUCCUUGAUUGUAAUCCUUUCUCAAUAUGUAACAUUCUUGUAGAUGAAUGUGGCACUGUUUUGUUUUUAGAUUUUAUAUACAACUCUGGAAGUUGAAGUUGCAAAUUAGCCAUGGAGAGAGUAAUGUUUUCCAUUAUGGGGACAAUACAUUGAACAAUUUGCAAACUAUCUUCAUUCUUAAGGAUGCAAAGCUGAUGGUUUAUCAUGACUGAGAUGCCAAUAGUGGUAUAUAAUCUUCCCCUUUAAUGUGGGGGAAAAAGAUAAGAAGAAGAUAAGACUGCUAGAUAUUAUUGAUGUAAUUAAAUUGUUUUAAUCUUUUAAAAAUCCUGCAAUUUAAUCUCUUCCACUGGUCAGGAGAGAAAGUGGCAAACUUUCUUUAGAAGAGAAGGAAAAUUUAAAGAAAAGCCUUCAUCAACAUAAUAAGUGUUGGAUACUUGACAUUAACUCUAUUCCAGCACGUGCAGCUCUUUUAAGAGUCUUGUUUAUGGGCCCUUUUUGUCAUUUAGGAGUUUGACAAUUAGGUCAGCAAAGAGGCUUAUUAUUGUUCUUUCUGUCUCUAAGGCUGAACAAACAAAUUUAUUGUUGCUUGGGUUAAUGGGAUUUUCUGUAAAAAUCUGUCAUAUGUUCAGGUUUAAGUCUCACGUGGCUUACAGUUUAUGUUAAUCGAUGGAUUACAGCAUUUAAUCUGCUUUGACUAUAUGUUUUCCAAUAGACUUGUUUGGUAUUUAGAGAGCAUCUUAAAAUAUGAACUUUUGGCUUCUUGACUUUUUUACCAGAAAUAGAGGGCUAAUCUAUUGUCCCUUCUUGCAGUCAAGCACACCACAGUGCUUCAGUGAUAAUGUUGAGAUGGCUGAUCAAGUAUUUCUACCUUUUUCACAAUUAAGGUGCUAUACCGAGGAAAGUGCUGUGGUUCCUGAUAAACAUCUAGGUUCUAGUAGGACUACACAUGAGAAUGAGAGUCUUGAAAACCAACUACAACAUCAAAUUGCCGG
rnacentral:lncRNA from 1 species